rnacentral:tRNA from 1 species
GAGGUUGUGGCUCAGUGGUAGAACACUUGCCUAGCAUGCAUGAGGCACUGGGUUCUUUCCCCAGCACCACA